UACAGAGGGUGCAAGCGUUGCUCGGAUUUACUGGGCGUAAAGCGUACGCAGACGGCCACGCAGGUCGGGUGUGAAAGCCCGGGGCUCAACCCCGGAAUUGCAUUCGAAACCAUGUGGCUCGAGGAUGGGAGAGGAGAGUGGAAUUCCCGGUGUAGAGGUGAAAUUCGUAGAUAUCGGGAGGAACACCAGUGGCGAAAGCGGCUCUCUGGCCCAAACCUGACGUUCAGGUACGAAAGCGUGGGGAGCAAACAGG
rnacentral:rRNA from 1 species